CCCUUAGAUGUUCUGGGCCGCACGCGUGCUACACUGAGUGGAUCAGCGGGUCAGGUUGCGCGAAAGUGUUUCCUAAUCUUGAAACCCGCUCGUGAUGGGGAUUGACGGUUGCAAUUUUCCGUCAUGAACGAGGAAUACCUUGUAAGCGCGGGUCAUCAUCCCGCGCUGAAUACGUCCCUGCCCUUUGUACACACCGCCCGUCGCUCCUACCGAUUGAGUGGUCCGGUGAGGCUUUGGGAUCUGAGCAAAGAGAGCGUUUCGCUCGUUUUGCCCGGAAAACUCAGUCGAACCUUAUCAUUUAGAGGAAGGAGAAGUCGUAACA
rnacentral:rRNA from 1 species